AUUGAACGCUGGCGGCAGGCUUAACACAUGCAAGUCGAACGGUAGCAGGAGAAAGCUUGCUUUCUUGCUGACGAGUGGCGGACGGGUGAGUAAUGCUUGGGAAUCUGGCUUAUGGAGGGGGAUAACUACGGGAAACUGUAGCUAAUACCGCGUAGUGUCGAGAGACGAAAGUGCGGGACCGCAAGGCCGCAUGCCAUGAGAUGAGCCCAAGUGGGAUUAGGUAGUUGGUGGGGUAAGGGCCUACCAAGCCUGCGAUCUCUAGCUGGUCUGAGAGGAUGGCCAGCCACACUGGAACUGAGACACGGUCCAGACUCCUACGGGAGGCAGCAGUGGGGAAUAUUGCGCAAUGGGGGGAACCCUGACGCAGCCAUGCCGCGUGAAUGAAGAAGGCCUUCGGGUUGUAAAGUUCUUUCGGUAUUGAGGAAGGAGUGUAUGUUAAUAGCAUACAUUAUUGACGUUAAAUACAGAAGAAGCACCGGCUAACUCCGUGCCAGCAGCCGCGGUAAUACGGAGGGUGCGAGCGUUAAUCGGAAUAACUGGGCGUAAAGGGCACGCAGGCGGUUAUUUAAGUGAGGUGUGAAAGCCCCGGGCUUAACCUGGGAAUUGCAUUUCAGACUGGGUAACUAGAGUACUUUAGGGAGGGGUAGAAUUCCACGUGUAGCGGUGAAAUGCGUAGAGAUGUGGAGGAAUACCGAAGGCGAAGGCAGCCCCUUGGGAAUGUACUGACGCUCAUGUGCGAAAGCGUGGGGAGCAAACAGG
rnacentral:rRNA from 1 species